rnacentral:rRNA from 1 species
GAUCAUGGCUCAGGAUGAACGCUGGCGGCGUGCUUAACACAUGCAAGUCGAACGGAACUACUUUGAUGAGAUUCUUCGGAAAGGAUUUGAUUUAGCUUAGUGGCGGACGGGUGAGUAACGCGUGGGUAACCUGCCUCAUACAGGGGGAUAACAGUUGGAAACGGCUGUUAAUACCGCAUAAGCGCACAGUACCGCAUGGUACCGUGUGAAAAACUCCGGUGGUAUGAGAUGGACCCGCGUCUGAUUAGG